CCUUGCUUUUUUAAAAAAACUCUUUUCCUCUGGGAAGUUAAGCAUCAAUCAAAUGAGUCAUGUGAAAUCAUUGUGGCCUGAUCUUGUAUCGUGAUCCCAUAAGUUCCACAUUAAACCGGAAAUGGAUUUAUGAGCUGUUGAUGUCUAAGAUUCAAGGCCAGAUGACUGCUCUCACUGAGUCAGCUUUCUAGGUUGGCACAAGCUGGGACUAACAACGGGAGCUUACCCCAUCCACGGAUUCAAACCGCUGACCUUUCAAUCAAUUGUAAAUGGUAAACGGAAGCUCUUACGUGUGCCUGUGAGCCCAGAUUCACCCUGCAAAACAAUGAUGCACCACUCAGAUUUGCAGAACAAAUAAUACAAGAACUUUACUAAU
rnacentral:lncRNA from 1 species